AUUGAACGCUGGCGGCAUGCUUUACACAUGCAAGUCGAACGGUAACAGGCCGCAAGGUGCUGACGAGUGGCGAACGGGGGCGUAAUGCAUCGGAACGUGCCCAGUCGUGGUGGAUAACUACUCGAAAGAGUAGCUAAUACCGCAUACGAUCUAUGGAUGAAAGCGGGGGACCGCAAGGCCUCGCGCGAUUUGAGCGGCCGAUGUCAGAUUAGGUAGUUGGUGGGGUAAAGGCUCACCAAGCCAACGAUCUGUAGCUGGUCUGAGAGGACGACCAGCCACACUGGGACUGAGACACGGCCCAGACUCCUACGGGAGGCAGCAGUGGGGAAUUUUGGACAAUGGGCGCAAGCCUGAUCCAGCAAUGCCGCGUGCAGGAAGAAGGCCUUCGGGUUGUAAACUGCUUUUGUACGGAACGAAACGGCUCUGGUUAAUACCCGGGGCUAAUGACGGUACCGUAAGAAUAAGCACCGGCUAACUACGUG
rnacentral:rRNA from 1 species